ACCCAAACCUAAUUGUUUUGCUAGGUAUGUUUUUAUUUAUACAGGGGAGAGAGAGAGAGAGAGAAGAGUGGAGAGGGUGUGGUGUGAUGGGGGAUUCAAACCCUAGAAGAAGUGUGAGAUGUCCACACUGUGCAGGUCCUCUCGCAAAGGAGAUGGAAACAAGUGAUUGGACUCUUCCUCCCCUCAUUAGGGAUAGCUUUUCUAUGGUAUAGUACUAUCGUGUUGAAUAUUGAAAAGUGAGUAAGUCUACAAAAGGGAAAGGAAAAUGGCUAUUGUUAAUUAAGUGUCAAUAGAGUGGGCUGUCAUGUAUGUCAGUUGUGGAGUGUGGUGAUUGGUUCUGCCGUUGGUUG